UACGUAGGGGGCAAGCGUUGUCCGGAUUUAUUGCGCGUAAAGAGCGUGUAGGCGCCCAUACAGGUCAGCUGUGAAAACUCGAGGCUCAACCUCGAGACGUCGGUUGAAACCGUAUGGCUAGAGUCCGGAAGAGGAGAGUGGAAUUCCCGGUGUAGCGGUGAAAUGCGCAGAUAUCGGGAAGAACACCUAUGGCGAAGGCAGCUCUCUGGGACGGUACUGACGCUGAGACGCGAAAGCGUGGGGAGCAAACAGG
rnacentral:rRNA from 1 species